rnacentral:rRNA from 1 species
AGUAACGCGUGGGUAACCUGCCUCACACUGGGGGACAACAGUUAGAAAUGACUGCUAAUACCGCAUAAGCGCACAGGAUUGCAUGAUCUGGUGUGAAAAACUCCGGUGGUAUAAGAUGGACCCGCGUCUGAUUAGCUUGUUGGUGAGGUAACGGCUCACCAAGUCGACGAUCAGUAGCCGGACUGAGAGGUUGAACGGCCACAUUGGGACUGAGACACGGCCCAGACUCCUACGGGAGGCAGCAUG